UACUAGCGAUGAUAGUUUUUUUUUUGUACAAAUAAAAGAAAAAAUAUAUAUAUAUAACACAGAUACUUUAAUUAAAAAUACAGACGAAAAUAUACAUAAUUUAACACACACGGACGUACCUUAUAACUUUGUGUAUAUGUGGCACCAACCCAAUGUUGUUUCUAUUUUUAUAUCUUCAUUUAUUGAUAUUGAAAAUGACAGUUGUCUUUAUUUUGUUGUUUACGCAAAAAAUAAUUUCGUGGGUGAGAUAUAUAUAUAUAAAAUUGAUGGUCUUUUCCCCUUUACUCACUCCAUGUCUUACGUAUUAAAUACUAGCAAUACCGAAAGCUUAGCUAAAAUAUCUACAACGAUAAAAAUAAACAAUCAAUUACCUCAAAUUAGAACAACAUGUCUUUUUAAAACAGUUUUUCAGCAUUUGGAUAAUUUGAGUUGUUUAUUAUCACAUAGUGGAAAAUAUAUUCUUUUUUUAGUAUAUACAAUAGAUACAGGUAAAGAAUCCUAUGGGAAUAUUAGCAAUUGUUAUUUUAUUUCAUUAACAAAAAAAAAAAUUAUUAUGAAAAAGGUAAAUCAACAAAUUGCACAAGAUAUUAUGUGGUGCCAUACAGAAGACGAGUUUAUAAUUAUAGAAGGAAAAUCUGAUAAUAUAAUUUUUUUUUAUGACUGUGAAUUAAAUGUUAAAUUAAAAUUUACAUCGCAAUAUAAAAAUACCGUUAAGUGGUGCUCUCACAAUAAUAUGCUUGCGAUAGGUGGUUUUGGUAAUUUAGCUGGAGAUGUUGCAUUUUAUUACAAAGAAAAAAAUAAUUCUAUUAUCCCUAUCAAACAAUACAGAGAAUCAUGUACCGUCUUAUGUGAAUGGUCUGCAGAUGGUUCACUAUUUAUGAUGGCUUCUACAUUUCCUAGAAUGAAGGUUGAUAAUAGAUUAAAAAUUUUUACAUGUGAAGGUGAGCUAGUUACUACCGUUACUUAUAAUGAAUUAUAUGAUGUCAAAUGGUCUACCUUUUCCCCUUUAUACAUUCAAA
rnacentral:lncRNA from 1 species